rnacentral:rRNA from 1 species
GAUGAACGCUGGCGGCGUGCCUAAUACAUGCAAGUCGAGCGAACGGACGAGAAGCUUGCUUCUCUGAUGUUAGCGGCGGACGGGUGAGUAACACGUGGAUAACCUACCUAUAAGACUGGGAUAACUUCGGGAAACCGGAGCUAAUACCGGAUAAUAUUUUGAACCGCAUGGUUCAAAAGUGAAAGACGGUCUUGCUGUCACUUAUAGAUGGAUCCGCGCUGCAUUAGCUAGUUGGUAAGGUAACGGCUUACCAAGGCAACGAUGCAUAGCCGACCUGAGAGGGGGAUCGGCCACACGGGAGCUGAGACAGGGUCCAGACUCCUGCGGGAGGCAGCAGUAGGGAAUCUGCCGCAAUGGGCGAAAGCCUGACGGAGCAACGCCGCGUGAGUGAUGAAGGUCUUCGGAUCGUAAAACUCUGUUAUUAGGGAAGAACAUAUGUGUAAGUAACUGUGCACAGCUUGACGGUACCUAAUCAGAAAGCCACGGCUAACUACGUG